CAAUACCGCGAGGUGGAGCAAACCCCUAAAAGCCAUCCCAGUUCGGAUCGCAGGCUGCAACCCGCCUGCGUGAAGUUGGAAUCGCUAGUAAUCGCGGAUCAGCAUGCCGCGGUGAAUACGUUCCCGGGCCUUGUACACACCGCCCGUCACACCAUGAGAGUCGGGAACACCCGAAGUCCGUAGCCUAACCGCAAGGGGGGCGCGGCCGAAGGUGGGUUCGAUAAUUGGGGUGAAGUCGUAACAAGGUACC
rnacentral:rRNA from 1 species